AACGAACGCUGGCGGCAGGCUUAACACAUGCAAGUCGAGCGCCCCGCAAGGGGAGCGGCAGACGGGUGAGUAACGCGUGGGAAUCUACCCAUCUCUACGGAAUAACGCAUGGAAACGUGUGCUAAUACCGUAUACGUCCUUCGGGAGAAAGAUUUAUCGGAGAUGGACGAGCCCGCGUUGGAUUAGCUAGCUGGUGGGGUAAAGGCCUACCAAGGCGACGAUCCAUAGCUGGUCUGAGAGGAUGAUCAGCCACACUGGGACUGAGACACGGCCCAGACUCCUACGGGAGGCAGCAGUGGGGAAUAUUGGACAAUGAGCGCAAGCCUGAUCCAGCCAUGCCGCGUGAGUGAUGAAGGCCCUAGGGUUGUAAAGCUCUUUCACCGGUGAAGAUAAUGACGGUAACCGGAGAAGAAGCCCCGGCUAACUUCGUGCCAGCCGCCGCGGUAACAC
rnacentral:rRNA from 1 species